rnacentral:misc_RNA from 1 species
GUAGGUGAACCUUCGGAAGGAUCAUUACCGAAAUGCAGCGGUGGCAGACGUUCGCGCCGGCCACCGCGUACAUGCAUUCUACCACCCUUGACUUUGAGCACCGUUUCGUUUCCUCGGCAGGGACGCCUGCCAGCGGGGACCCCCUUGAACACUUGCAGUAGCAGUAUUUGUCUGAAACAAACACAAAAAUUAAAACUUUCAACAAUGGAUCUCUUGGUUCUG